GUCUAUGGCCAUGCCACCCUGAACAAGCCCAGUGUCUGAUCUUGGAAGCUAAGCAGGGUUGGGCUUGGUUAGUACUUGGUUGGGAGACUACGUAGGAAGACCAGGUGCUGUAGGCA
rnacentral:rRNA from 1 species